AUUACACAAAAUUUAAAAGUGUUGCCUUUGCCCAGUGUGAGGAUUUUGAUGUAGUUUCUCAGGAGAAGAUUAAGUGGGAAAUACGUCAGUAGCUCCGAUGUGGCAGGAGUAGAUUAUAGUUCUUGAGAUCGGCCUUUCUUCGACACCAUGGUGCAAUAGCAUGCAGAAGGUGAUGUUGUGGUGCGAGUUCGACAAUGGCAUGUCAAGCAGCGGGGUGGCCGGCAUGGCGCCGGUAGUCUUUCUCCCUCUCAUGUGUCCGGACACGAUCGUGUGCCUAGCUGUCGCCGUGGGAUAGACGAAAACACACGCACUACACUACAACAAAACCCUAGGAUAAGUCAAACAUAGGCUAAGUUCAUCAAUAAAUGUAAGUACACUCUAUAUGAUCACCCCCAUUUUUCUGUGAAACUAGAAUGUCUCUUUUGAGUUGGAAUGGCUCGAUUAUUCGUGGGAUGGUUCUGCUUUUCUCGAACCUAGUUGGUGCUGCGAAUCAGGUAUUUGGAUCGUGGGGUCAAUACCAGUGGCAUCCAUUCUAAAUUACAUAAUUCUUUGUCUCCGAGUCUCAUGCGCCCCCUUGGACUAGGGUCCGAGGGGUG